rnacentral:rRNA from 1 species
GAUAAAUGGCUUGUGGUGGCCAAGCGUUUGCAAAGACAUUGCUUUCUGAUCCUUCGAUGUUGGCUCUUCCUAUCAUUGAUUUCAAAUUUUGGCACAAGGCCAGAGGGAAUAAGUAGAUUACAUCGUCUCACGUGCUAAACUGGUACUUAUUUUAUUGUUCUCGGAAGGAUGAAAGACAAAGUAGGCCUCAGCGGAAUUUGAACUCAAAACCUAAAGACAGACGAAAUGCCGCUAAGUAUUUUGGCCAGCGUGCUAACGAUUCUACCAGCUCCAUCCAAUGCGAAGCAGAAUUCGUAAAGCGCUGGAUUGUUCACCCACUAACAGGGAACGCGAGCUGGAUUGAGACCGUCGUGAGACAGGUU